UACGUAGGGUGCGAGCGUUGUCCGGAAUUAUUGGGCGUAAAGAGCUCGUAGGCGGUGUGUCACGUCGGCCGUGAAAACCUGCAGCUUAACUGUGGGCGUGCGGUCGAUACGGGCAUCACUGGAGUUCGGCAGGGGAGACUGGAAUUCCUGGUGUAGCGGUGAAAUGCGCAGAUAUCAGGAGGAACACCGGUGGAGAAGGCGGGUCUCUGGGCCGAUACUGACGCUGAGGAGCGAAAGCGUGGGGAGCAAACAGG
rnacentral:rRNA from 1 species